UUUUUUUUUUUUUUUUCCCCUGCUUCACAAACAGCAAAGUGAAUGUUUGAGCAUCUCAGUGGGGGGUUAAUGAGGACUCUGAUUAGUUAUUCAGAUUUGCCGAUGCUGCCUACAUCCAUCCUCGGAUGGGGGAGUAGCAGGAAAGGGUUUGCAGAAAAAGCUCUUAAAGAUGACCUGCUUGGCUUUCACAGCUCAGGGGGAUGGAGGCUUUGGGGGGCUCACAUUACAGGGCUCCUCAACCCCAAAAUCCUAGUGCCAACUUUGAGAUGGAAAAGUUUAUUUUCCCAUCAUUUGUAGGGGAUGCUAAAAGCUGCUGCACAUUCAGUCAUGCCAAGUCUUGUGAAGUUUCUGGGAAAAACAUUUGGAUUUGUGGGAUUUUUUUUCACUUGAGAAAAAAAAAAUUAUUGGGUGCCCUUAAUAGAAUUUGUGUGCAGUUCUGGUCAGAAGUAUAAGACCAAAAAUGAUGGAGGGACAGAUGCAAGACACGUGGAUUCAUGGAUGCAAAGAUGCAUGGAUGAACACACAUGGUGAAAAGACACACGGAUACACGGAGAUAAGGGUGGAAGAAAGGAUGGAUCACCCCAUAAGCCACCACUGGGCUGCAAAAAUGCAACAACUGCUGCAGUAUUUCCUACAGCAUCCCAUAAAAGUGGUUUAUGUCCUUGCAAAAAAGCAAUGAGCUCACCUCCUUGCUCCUUGACCCAGGGAUAUUUUAAGCAGGUUGAGCUCACAUCAGUAUUUUAAGAAGGUUGAACUCCUGUAAUUUGGGGGUUUCUUUCCAGAUUUAGGCUUUUGCUCUUCACCUGCAUCAAAAAUCAAAAGGGAACCUGAGAAAAUAAGUGGCAGGUGCCCAAAAUGAUGUCAUAAAAGGCCUGAAGGAUGGAGCCAGGGGGGUGUUUCAUGGCAUUGCAAAGGGGCCAAUAAAAAAAUUCAGGCAUUAUUUUAGGAUUCACUCUAGAAUUUGUUAUUUCUUCGUGAAGAAGAAAUAUUUGAAGGAUGAGCAGGAGGGAGAAGGCACUGUCUCAGUGGUAAAUUCAUCCCAACAAUGAAUGUCAACACUGGAUUUCUCUGUGGGUCUAGAGACCCAGCUGGGUCUUGCUUUGAGUACCACUGUAUCACUCAACCCAGCAUCCAACAGGGGUUCUGAGGACCUAAACUCUCUGGUAUUUGUGUCAUUUCCCACAACACCUGCCAGGAUCUAAGGGGAAAGACAAACUAGUUAUCCUUCAGAUUUCACAUUGAGGCACUCCAUCCCAAACAGGCUCUUUUCCCAAGGACUGCCUCCAUAUGCUUUGUCUGGGUUUUAAACGGUGUGUUAAUUGUUCUGAAUUAACAGCUCCAGCUGGGGACGCAAACAAGCAAUUUGCAACCUUAAGAUAACACCCAACUUAUCUCAAGUGAUUUAAAUUGGGAUUUUUUUUUGUUUGUUUGUUUGGUUCAGGGGAAGUGGGGUUACUGUUUUUUUGGGGGUUUGGUUGUUUUUUUGGGGUUUUUUUUUAGGGGACAUAAUGCCUUUCUAGUUGUGAAUACACUGUCCAGAGCUAAAAUCACUUAGUGCACCCAAUCCAUCAGGAGUGACCAUUGGCACAUGGUCACAGGGGGAGAUGGGAUUGCACAACAAAGAGAAAAGAUGAAAAAUCUCUGCAUUCACUUUGCUUUAGAGACAGGAAAAAUCUAAUAUAUCCUCAUCACUUCUGGGCAAACCACUGUCUGCAGAAGAGCUAAGGAUUAUUUUCUCCCCAACACCUUUUAUUUUCUAUUACAUAGAAUCAGGGAAUCCCAGAAUGGUUUGGGUUGGAAGGGACCUUAAAACUCAUCUUGUUCCAACUCCCUGCUACAGGCAGCGACACUUUCCACUACCCCAAACUGGUCUAAAUCCCUGUCCAGCCUGGCCUUGGACAUUUCCAGGGAUGGGACAACCUGUGCCAGGGCCUCACCAUUCUCACAGGGAAGAAUUUCCAUUUACAGCCUGUUUCACAGUAUUCUAGCUCUCAAAAAAAUCAAAAAAACCUAAUAGCAAACUCAUUCAAGCUUUAUCCCUUUGUCCUCUUUCAUCUUUUUCCCUUUUGUUUUUUUUUCAUUUGCAGCUAUAUAGAGGAAGGGAGAAAGAAAGACCAUGCUGGUUAUUUGUUUACAAGACUGGAUCUUCAUUUUUUAAAAAAAUUGUCAUUUCAGCAAUUUGAAUCCUUUCUAAUCUCACUGAGGGUGUGGGAUUCAAGGAGGAAAGUCCACCCCUCUCUCCCCACCCCUCCAUGACCGGUUUUAAGAGGAGUCAGUGGUGCUGCCAGUGAAACAGAUGCCACAAGAAAAGAUUUCUAUGACUAUGAUCAAGUGUCUGUUGCCAGAUUGAGUGGAAACUCCUCUUGCUGCUUGUCCUGGUUCCAGCCAGGAGAGGGUUAAUUUCUGCAGUGGCUGGGAGGGGGCAUGGCCAGGACUUGGUUAUUCUAUACCACUUCACAUCAUUUUUUGGGGGGAGGGGCAGGAAAGGGACUCCCUUCCCAGCCGGAGCAGCUCUACCUUAAGGUGAGCAUUUCUGUAUGUGAAUCACUCUCUUUUGGUACCAUUUUGUUAUUUAUGUUGUUGCUCUUACUGUUUGUUUUCUCAUUCUGGUUUCCAGUAAAUUGUUCUUAUCUCAACCCAUCUUUUUGAUGAUGAUCUUUUCCUUUCAUGCCUUUAAUUCUCUUCUCCAGGAGGAGAAGGGGAGGGAAAAGGGGAUCCAGUGAGCAGCAGCAUGGUUUGCAAAGUCUCAGUAGAUGCACUAAAAUGGGGGAACAAUUCCUAAAUCAUGACUCUACCCCAGCCAAGACUGAGGUGGGGUAAACGUCCAUCAACCCCCAAAAGUUUUGCAAGAUUGGCUCCCAUCAGAUGACUGGGCUUGUGAUGGGGUCAUUCUGCUGAAGUUGGAACACUUUGUCUCCAUUUUGUCUCCUCUUCCCAGAGGAAAAAAGGUCUAACUGCGCCCUGAGGACAUGAAGAAGGGACAUUAACAUGCAAUGAUCCAUCCUUCUCCAACAGUGGGAGGCACCUCCAAAACACAGACCCAACUCUGGGGCUGUGGGACUCACUGCAGCCUCGGAUGCCCAGAUCCCCAGUGCCAAGCUGUGCUACCUGACCACCUCCUGGCACAUGGAUAAAGUAACAGGAGAAGCGAUAAAUCACUUUGGCACCCUCCCUGGGCAUGGCAGCCCUCGAUAAAAAACCCAAACUCAGGGGAGGGAGUCUGACACCACGCUAUUCCCAGCGCAUUCCGUUGCGCAGAUUAAUCCUUCUUGAUGGAGAAUUACAAUUAGGGCUUCGUCUUAAGGAGAUAUCAGCAAUCAGAUAUCUUAUCAAAUGCCACCUCAAUUAUUCAAAUAAUCCCUGGCUCUUAGAUUUGGGUGCUGUUUAGGGAAAGCAGUCCGAUUAAUGUGCUGACACUUCCCCAUCACGUCCGACAUCCUCAACUUCAUGUCUGAUUACGGAAUUUGCAUUCAAUUUAAUUUUUUCCAUCUGGAGUAAAUGAAUAAUCCGAGUACCUACCCCAGCCUUAAUUACAUUUGUUAAAUUAAAAACCUGGGAUGUGAGAAAUUUAAAUGCAUGUAGCUCCAUGGCCAGACAAACCUGCAUGUUCAACCUGCCGCAGCCCUGCCAGCUCCUGCUUCAAUUUCUCUUCCUUCCCCACAGCCAGGCAUCAAGGAAAUUACAACUAGAAAACAAAAAUUCUUUCUAAACGAUGAAACAAUAGAUGAUCUUUUGACAUUUCCAGCGCUGUUUGCAAGGGAAUGAGAUAAAAUGUAAUAAAUUCAUAUACUUCUGUGUGUUUCUUGGCUCCAGCAGCUAAAAUUUCCAUCUCUUUAUGCAGGAGUCCUGGGGAGCAGAAAUCCUUGAUAAUGCCAAACAAUUCGACACUUUAUUUUCUCUUUACUCCACACCAUGCAAAACACAGGCUUCAAGCUGCCAGCUGCUGGGAGUGAAACCAGAUGCCACAUCCCUUUUCCAUAUGGAAACUGAAAUCGCCCAGUCUGGGGGGCCCGUGUGCUCCCCUCAGUCCCAGCCCUCCGUGACCCCAGGGCUGCUACUGGCACACAGCAAAGCCUCCCUCCAACUGCAAAAAAACCCACUAUUUCAAUGGUGCAAUUGUCAUUUUCUACACUCAGCCUGGCUCAGGCCAGAUUGUGGUAGCAUCAGAGCCAGAGGACAUCAAAAAAGAUUCACCCCAAGCCACCACAUAUUCCUAAUUUUAAAAUAAAGAAGUAAACAGAGAAGUGUGAGUAAAACCACUGAACUUGAUAAAUGUUUCAAAAUAAACUCAGCAGAAGCUUGCUGAGUUUCCCUUCUUUUAGAGAUGAUGAAACUUGAAAGGAUGGAUUUAAUAGGUGGACACGAAGUGGUGAUAAGAAAAGUGUUGAAAUAAUUAAAGAAUAAUUAAACAUUAAAUGGAAAAUAAAGCACUACCAACACAGACCACUUUAGGAGGAAUACUUCACAGGUUAAUUGGAAAUAGGAAGUGUCAAAUAAAUAAAUUUGGAUGUUGAUCUAGAUGUCAGCAGCAAUGAAAAUGUCGAGGAAAGUCUUUUCCCAACACUCACAAAGAUUGAAUUAAAUAACUUACAUGUGAGUGAGUGCAAUGACAGCAAUCCUCCAGUCUGAGGUUUGUGAGACCAGUAAUAAAAUAUGGUUAAAAAUAUUCAGGGAAAGCCACACUCGGGUAAAGCGAGACAGGUGAGAGCAGAAUCAAAAACAGUUUUUCCUUUCCUCCCAGCAUGCUUGCAGCUCACACAACACUUCUGCACCCCAGGAAGCUCAAUUUGACUCCCCAGCCCAAAAAAAUCCCUUCAGAGGGGUGUACCAGAGCAUCCCCCCAGGUACAGUGGCCAUCAGGUCUGGCCAUCAGAGCAGGCAGCUGAGAUGCAGUCUAAUGGACCUGCGGUUCCUCGUCCUUCCUGACUUUCUUCUGCUUUGUUUGGAGUUAAAAGUUAUAGUUCCAGAGAAGAAAACAUCAUGUUUUAGCAAUGAGGUCCCCAGCGAGGCUGUUUAAAAAUUAAUUAGUGCCAUGCAACGUAUUAGCAAUGAACAGUAAUUUUAGCUUUUGUACUUACUUCGUUGCCUUCUACAUGGUUGUUAUUCCAGCUUUUCCAUGGUCCUCCCAGCCAACCAGGACCUACACAGAGCAUACCAAGGGAAUUAUUGGCUGUGCCCCCUGGAAAUACCCAAUUCAACAGCAAAACACCCCCCAGCGUGAUCCCUCUGAAGGUUUUAAAUAAAUUAGGGUCAUAUUUGCUGAGCUGGCUGGAAGGUGGGGAAGCUGCUCUGCUCCCAGAGGUGCCCAUCAUCCCAAAAGAGCAGCUGUCCCAGGUGUGAGCCUGUCCACAGGUAAACCCUGAGCAACGUGGGUGUUGUGGUGGGGUGUGGAGGAGGUUGUGGGUCAUGGCUUCAGCCAGGAUGGAGGACAAGGUCCUCCCUCCAUGGGCAGACAUGGGUGGGAUCACCCAGACCUGACGAUGGAGAACCUUCAAGGAUGGAGAUCUGCCAACCCCAGAUGUAUCUGCCAGCCCCAGAGUUGAAGAUUUUCCUCCAAACCCAAGGAGGAAGACCCUCAUAUCCCAAAAAUGGAGAUAGGCUCCCAACUCUGAAGGUGAAGAUGCUCAGGGAUGGAGCUCCACAAAACACAAGGAAGAAUCCACCUAACCCCAAGGCUGGGAAUUCCCCCAAUCACAAGGAAAGGGAUCUCCCAAGCCUGCAGAUCUCCAAAACCCAAGGAUGGAGACUCACAAACUUCAAGGAUCGAGCUCCUUGCCCUGACUAUGGGGAUCUACCAACCCUAAUGAUGUGGAAUCUCUAAACCCAAGGAUUCUCAUAACCCUGAGGACAGAGAUUCUGCAGACUCCAAGGAUGGGGAUCCCCCCACCCAAGAAUGGAGAGAGAAAUCCCCUCCAGGACAAAGACCCCCAAACCUAAGGAUGCAAACCCCAUCUCCCCCAGCCCCAUGGAGGGCAAUCACCCCCUGGGACAUCAGUGGCUGGAAGCUUCACCCCACACUGCAUGGAGCAGAACCUGUGGUCAUCACUCUGGUCUGGCAAUGGCCCCCUCCCAAAAUACAACCCCAAAUGAGCCACCCCUGCGCUCCUUUUGGCAGUGGGAGAGGCAGCAGGGACCAAGGAACCUCACUGUGCGCACUGCCUUCAGGUGGAUUGCGGAGCUGAGGGGAAAUUUGCUGGGACAUCUGGAAUAUAUUCAUUUUAUGGCAUGUUUCAUAUCACAGACAGGUACUUUGAAGCAGUUAAGUAGUAGCAGGGCAGCACGUCCCCAUGGGUGGGCUGCGGUUUGUGCUUUCAGCCCGAGCUGCACCGGCAUGACAAAGGGGCUGGGGAGACAGAGCUGACGUUUUCCAAACACAGCUUUGUGCCUCUGGGGGCAAAUCCAGCAAGAAAUUACAACCCAAAAGGCCAAAAAAUAAAAAAAAAAAUUUAAAAAAAAAAAAAA
ensembl:lncRNA